GGGGCAGUGAAUUGUAAUACGACUCACUAUAGGGCGAAUUGGGCCCCGACGUCGCAUGCUCCCGGCCGCCAUGGCGGCCGCGGGAAUUCGAUUAGAGUUUGAUCAUGGCUCAGAUUGAACGCUGGCGGCAUGCCUUACACAUGCAAGUCGAACGCGAAAGUAGGGGCAACCCUGCGAGUAGAGUGGCGAACGGGUGAGUAAUGCAUCGGAACAUUUCCUGUAGUGGGGGAUAACCUCGAGAAAUCGAGGCUAAUACCGCGUACGUCCUACGGGAGAAAGCGGGGGAUCGCAAGACCUCGCGCUAUAGGAGUGGCCGAUGCCGGAUUAGCUAGUUGGCGGGGUAACAGCCCACCAAGGCGACGAUCCGUAGCUGGUCUGAGAGGAUGAUCAGCCACACUGGGACUGAGACACGGCCCAGACUCCUACGGGAGGCAGCAGUGGGGAAUUUUGGACAAUGGGCGCAAGCCUGAUCCAGCCAUGCCGCGUGAGUGAAGAAGGCCUUCGGGUUGUAAAGCUCUUUCGGCCGGGACGAAAUCGCACCUGCGAAUACCGGGUGUGGAUGMCGGYACCGG
rnacentral:rRNA from 1 species